rnacentral:misc_RNA from 1 species
UACCGAGUCGUCGACACGAGUUGUUGCUGGUCCUCAAACGGGGGACACGUGCACGCUCUGUUUACACAUCCACUCACACCUGUGCACCCUCUGUAGUUCUAUGGUCUGGGGGGCCCUGCCUCCCUUCUGUGGUUCUGCAUAUUUACACACGCAAUGUAACAAAGUCUUAUGGAAUGCGCAUCGCGUUUAACGCAAUACAAUACAACUUUCAGCAACGGAUCUCUUAGCUCUCGCAUCGAUGAAGAACGCAGCGAAAUGCGAUAAGUAAUGUGAAUUGCAGAAUUCAGUGAAUCAUCGAAUCUUUGAACGCACCUUGCACCCUUUGGCAUUCCGAAGGGUAUGCUCGUUUGAGUGUCAUUGUACUCUCACACUCCCAAUUCUUUGAACUGGGAGCGGUGGACUUGGGUGUUGCCGCUUGACUGUGGCUCACCUCAAAUGCGUUAGUGCACCUCUUGGUUGGACAUAGUACGGCGUGAUAAGUGUCUUCGCCGGCACCUCACUUUGAGGGUGGCUGAUUGGGAGCUCUGUGCUUCAAACUGUCUUCGGACAAUAACUGACAACUUG